rnacentral:misc_RNA from 1 species
GUGUAUAAGAGACAGGUGAAUCAUCGAAUCUUUGAACGCACAUUGCGCUCUUUGGUAUUCCUUAGGGCAUGCCUGUUUAAGUGUUAUCUUACUACUUAAGCGUUGCUUGGUGUUAGGCGCCUGUCCCGCCACUUGCGCGCGGACUUGCCUUGAAGACAUUGGCGGCCUGUGUACUAGCCACGAGCGCAGCAGACUUGCGCUUCGUGCCUACCCCGCAGGCGUCUAGGAAGCGAACCCCUUAGUUUAACCUUAGAUUAGGUAGGAAUACCUGCUAAACUUAAGCAUAUCAAUAAGCGGAGG